UACGUAGGUGGCGAGCGUUGUCCGGAUUUAUUGGGCGUAAAGGGCGCGCAGGUGGUGCGGCAAGUCCGUCGUGAAAUCUCCCGGCUCAACUGGGAGGGUGCGCCGGAAACUGGAGGGCUAGAGUACUGGAUGGGAGAGUGGAAUUCCUGGUGUAGCGGUGAAAUGCGCAGAUAUCAGGAAGAACACCCGUGGCGAAGGCGGCUCUCUGGAACGCAACUGACGCUGAGACGCGAAAGCGUGGGGAGCAAACAGG
rnacentral:rRNA from 1 species